GGCUGGCACUGCCAUCUUCCAGUAAUUCUCCAAAAUGACCAACGCGAAGGGAAAGAGGAGGGGCACCCACUAUAUGUUCUCUAGGCCUUUUAGAAAACAUGGAGUUGUUCCUUUGGCAUCAUACAUGCAAAUCUACAAGAAAGGUGAUAUUGUAGCCAUCAAGGGAAUGGGUACUGUUCAAAAAGGAAUGCCACAGAAAUGUUACCAUGGCAAAACUGGAAGAGUCUACAGUGUAACCCAGCAUGUUGUUGGCAUUGUUGGAAACAAACAAGUUAAGGGCAAGAUUCUUCCCAAUAUAAAAUUAAUGUGCAUAUCAAGCAUCUUAAACACUCUAAGAGCCAAGACAGCUUCCUGAACCAUGUGAAGGAAAACAGUCAGAAAAAGAAGGAAGCCAAAGAGAAAGGGACUUGGGUUCAGCUGAAGCACCAGCCUACUCCACCCAGAGAAGCUCACUUUGUGAGAACCAAUGGAAAGGAGCCUGAACUGUUGGAACUCAUUCCUUAUGAAUUCAUGGCAUGGUAAGUGUAAAGAAAAUAAA